UAACCCUAAUCCCCAUUCUCUCCUCCGUUCCCUCAGCCGCCACAACUGCCCACUCCUGAUUCCGGCGAUUCUGGCAGCUAUCGCCGGCGCGGUGCACGCCGCCUCUACCGCUCGCCGAAAUCCCACACCCGUGCUAGGGUUUCGGCCUCUCUCAUCGCCUUCGUUAUUGGCGCAUGUCCGACGGCCUCUGGCGGCUCUUCUCCACCGUCUUUAGCGCCCCCACGUGCGCCCUCGCCUUCUGAUGUUCCACCUCGAGCAGGGCGGCGCGGAGGAUCUCCUCCCGCAGGAUCCACAGACGUGGCGCACCCUGCAGCCGCCUGUCCGGGAGGAGGGCGGACACUGUGUCCUUGUCCUGCUCGAUGACGGUCGCGGCGAACGUCGGUGCUGCUCCUCAUUCUCGACCUUCAAGGAGGAGCACUGGUACAGCAGAAGCACGCCCUUCCCCUGAACAAUCGCCAUGGCGUCAGGUAAGGUUGUGCUGCCGUGCCUAUAUUGCGUGGAGUAAACAAUUUGAUGGGACAGAUUGCUUGUGCUAGAUGUGGUUAGUCUGUAGUGGUCAUCUUGUUUUUAAUUUUGGGGACACAUUGCUGCUUGUGCUGUCAAAUAUGCAAUUUAAUCUUUUACCAGAAGCGGGCUGCCUGCUUCGCUGCGCCGCUCUUUUUCCAGGUUAACAAUCCGUUUGUUUAGUUGUUCGUGGGUCUGUUGCGCCUUUUUGCUGGGUGUUGGGCGUUGCCCUGCUAGAUGCAUAUAAUAUUUGCAUCUAUACACACCUGUGUUGAGCAUUGGUAAUCAUGAUUUUCAGUAUCCCUGAAUUACAAGCUCAGGCAAGAGCAUACCAAUUCUGGUGUUGUCACUACAAAAUAUGUACAGCAAAGGGCGAAACAAUAAUCAAAUACUGUGAGCGUGUUCAAUCUAUAUUAUCAUAUACAAAUCAUUCUUUCUUAAAAAAUCUAUAUUGUUAGAAGAGUGUUCAAAGAUUUACUUAUUCAAAUAACUCUAUCGAUUGUAUAAAUAAGGGAUCAAACUGUCAAAUAGAAUGGAUCCUGAAGAAAUGCUAAUGCCAAUUAUAUUUAGAGAAAAACUUACCAAUUAAUUGGCAAUAAAAUCAUAGCUGCAGCCUGCAGUACGGAGUUGUUGAUAUUUAUCCGAGGUUACAGCUGUAGCCUACACAAUCUUAAUACACACAUAGGAGAAGAGAACUUGAAGGUGGGAAUUCUGAACCAUAUAUAGUUGUAGCUGGAUAUAAAGAUAAAAAAUAACAUAUAUGAUAUAGACACAGGACCUGUUCUACAACCAGCACUCAGCAAUUACAAGUAACACAAACAUGCACAAGACUUCGCUGAAUAAUUUGAAGCACUGGAGAUAACAUACGAAGCAACAAAAUGAUGCCUUUUGGUUACUUGGUGUACUUGGCUGUACUAUUUAUUAGGGUUGAUUUCUGUCCUACUAAUGACUACUGCCUUCUCCACCCAUCCAAUGGUGUACAUGACGUCCUCCUCCUUGACGCGGCUGUCCCCAACGAGCUCUCUCCUCCGGAGGAGGUGAAGCAGCUUGUCCAGCACCCCCUUGGCCUCCUAUCCUGCACCACAUGAACGAGCUCACCGACGGUUGCGUUCUGCCCUCCUAGCGUGAUAUUGGUUAUGGCAGCAUUUUCAACAAGAAAGACAUGCGUUUUGACAACUUUGGCAUGGACGGGUGGAUCUGCUGCUUGGAAGACCCCUAGUUGGUGUGUGGCCGCCUGAUAAGAGUGGCCAUCGCUUGGUGGGCGUGGUGCUGGUUGUAGAGUAGGAUAGUGUUCUUCGUGACAUGCUUGUAAAAUUAAGGUUUUUUGGGUCUUUUUUUCCGCUCCUGUACAAGUGUAUUUUUGGAUCUGUUGUUGUAAUUUUCUUUUUCUAAUGACAUGAGCAUAUACUUUCUGUCAAAUUCUUAUUGGCGUAAAUUUUCCA